rnacentral:tRNA from 9 species
GCCGAGGUAGCUCAGUGGUAGAGCAGCGGUAUCGUAAACCGCGGGUCGGGGGUUCAAAUCCCCCCCUCGGCUCAA